rnacentral:rRNA from 1 species
UGCCAAGGCUUUGACGGGUAGCCGGCCUGAGAGGGUGGGCGGUCACACUGGGACUGAGACACGGCCCAGACUCCUACGGGAGGCAGCAGUGGGGAAUAUUGCACAAUGGGCGCAAGCCUGAUGCAGCGACGCCGCGUGAGGGAUGGAGGCCUUCGGGUUGUGAACCUCUUUCGCCAGUGAAGAAGGUCCUGCUCUUUGUGGUGGGGUUGACGGUAGCUGGGUUAAUGAAGCGCCGGCUAACUACGUGCCAGCAGCCGCGGUAAUACGUAGGGCGCGAGCGUUGUCCGGAAUUAUUGGGCGUAAAGGGCUUGUAGGCGGCUGGUCGCGUCUGCCGUGAAAUCCUCUGGCUCAGCUGGGGGCGUGCGGUGGGUACGGGCUGGCUUGAGUGCGGUAGGGGAGACUGGAACUCCUGGUGUAGCGGUGGAAUGCGCAGAUAUCAGGAGGAACACCGGUGGCGAAGGCGGGUCUCUGGGCCGUUACUGACGCUGAGGAGCGAAAGCGUGGGGAGCGAACAGGAUUAGAUACCCUGGUAGUUCACGCUGUAAACGUUGGGCACUAGGUGUGGGGGGCCUUUUCCGGGUUUUCCGCGCCGUAGCUAAC